AACGAACGCUGGCGGCAUGCCUAACACAUGCAAGUCGAACGAGACCUUCCUGCUUAUUUGCGCACGGGUGCGUACCGCCGGGUAACCUGCCCUUAGGUUAGCAACCACUCCCCUAAAGAGGAGCUAAUACCAGAUAAUGUCAUCCCACCAAAGAUCUACCGCUUUUGGAUGGGGGCUCGUUGGAUUAGCUGGUUGGUAGGGUAUACGCAUACCAAGGCGACGAUCCAUAGCUGGUCUGAGAGGAUGAUCAUCCACACUGGGACUGAGACACGGCCCAGACUCCUACGGGAAGGAGCAGUGGGGAAUAUUGGACGAUGGGCGAAAGCGUGAUCCAGCAAUGCCGCGUAAGUGAUGAAUGCCUUAGGAUUGUAAAGCUCUUUUACCCGAGAUGAUAAUGACAGUACCGGGAGAAUAAGCACCGGCUAACUCCGUG
rnacentral:rRNA from 1 species